UAGCAAGUCGACCAAAGGCGAAAGCAGUCAUCAAGGGCAUGCCCGUUGAUCAAGAGCGAAAGUUAAGGGUUCGAAGACGAUCAGAUACCGUCGUAGUCUUAACUAUAAAUGAUGCAAACCAGGGAUAGGACACUGUCCAUCUCGACUCCUCCUGGACCUUAGAGAAAUUACAGUCUUUGGGUUCUGGGGGGAGUAUGGUCGCAAGGCUGAAACUUAAAGGAAUUGACGGAAGGGCACACAAAGAGUGGAACCUGCGGCUUAAUUUGACUCAACACGGGAAAACUCACCAGGUCCGGAUACACGUAUGAAGGUCAAGCUGAAAGACUUUACUCAAUGAUGUAAGUGGUGGUGCAUGGUCGUUCUUAGUUCGUGGAUUGAUUUGUCUGGUCUAUUCCGAUAACGAGCGAGACCCCAUCGUUCCUAAUAGGGGCGGUUAGCCCGGCUGGUCGCAAGACCGGCAGCUUCCGCUUAAGAUUAACUUCUUAGACGUAUCAGAGCCGAUAAGGUUCUUGAAAUGGGUUAAUAACAGGUCAGUCAUGCCCUUAGAUGUUCUGGGCCGCACGCGCGUUACAAUGGCAUGUAAAGCAAGUGCUUGAAAAGGCGUUUCCGGGGCCGAAAGGUCCUGGUAACCCUUAGUCCCUGCCUUGACUGGGACAGAUCUUUGCAAUUAUUGGUCUCCAACGAGGAAUUUUUAGUAGUCGUAGGUCAUUAACCUACGACGAAUGCC
rnacentral:rRNA from 1 species